CCACCCUGGGAAGUGAAACUGUGGCAGUGCCAAGGAGCUAAGAACGUGGUGAUUUACCAGAAGUCUUCAGAGGCAAGCCAUCUUCAAUUCAGAAGGGGAAUCCCACAUGUGUGUUGAAUAUGAGGCAUUGUUUAAGACACCUCCUGCCCUCACCACAUUGGCAAACUGACAGCGUCAACUUGAAACAAGUCUGCACAUUGUGGCCAUUUUCACUCCACAACAAAUGUUUACCAUGGAAUUCCUUGGAAUCAAAAAUCAUGUCCUCUUCUCCCGUGCCUAGAAGAAUGCCCGAGAGGUGUUCACUAUGUAUUUAUAGGGUGAAAUUUUCCUAUAUAUGUCUUAUAUCCCUUAAGAAAUUUUUUUCCAGACAAUAAAUGCUCCCUUUUCAAAGCACUAUAA